CAGAGGAGAAACAGUGUGGCACCAGGUUCUUCUGCCCAAGUACCUGAUGAGGUCCGUGUGACUCAAAAAAAAGCUCACCCUGCAAACAAAGCUGUAAUGUCAGUAGGGACAACCCAUUUAUCAAGUGUUGCGGUCAUUUCACAGAGCAACAGUGACAGUGGCACGUGCUCUCAUUGGUCCACUGAGUCCAGUACACCAACCGUUCCAGAAGAAAUAGAUGCUUCAAAUAAAGCUACAAAGCCAGAAGCAAGGGCCAAUGCCUCAAGUAUUGAUGUUUCACAAAGCAGCAGUGAGAGUGCAUAUUGCUCGCAUAGGCCCAUGGUAUCUAUUGCUCAACUUAAUCCGGCACAAAGAGAUUUGGGGGAUGCAC